rnacentral:lncRNA from 1 species
GAUCAGAUUGCCAGGGUACAUUUGAAAAAAUUUUUAUUCUAAAAUUUUAUAAUUUUUAUAAAUUAUCUUGUAGGCAGUGGAAUAAAGAUCAAAAUCCUCAGGGGGCUACUUGACUCUGAUGCCUAACAAGGUCUAAAAAUAUAGAUCUUCUACUUUGCACGCACACUAAGCCCCGCAGGAAGGAAGGAUGAUCUCUUUGGGCAUUGCAACUUUUGAAGGGCAGCAAGGGAAGGGAGAAGAUCUGAUCACGUGCC